GUGUCAGCAGCCGCGGUAAUACGUAGGGUGCGAGCGUUGUCCGGAAUUACUGGGCGUAAAGAGCUUGUAGGUGGUUUGUCGCGUUGUUCGUGAAAUCUCACGGCUUAACUGUGAGCGUGCGGGCGAUACGGGCAGACUAGAGUACUGCAGGGGAGACUGGAAUUCCUGGUGUAGCGGUGGAAUGCGCAGAUAUCAGGAGGAACACCGGUGGCGAAGGCGGGUCUCUGGGCAGUAACUGACGCUGAGAAGCGAAAGCGUGGGGAGCGAACAGGAUUAGAUACCCCUGUAGUCC
rnacentral:rRNA from 1 species